AAAGAAUUUGAAUAUAAUGAAGAAUGUAUAAAAAAUGAAUUCGAAUCCAAUACAAGUCAUGAUACAUCUUUUCAAGAAGCAAUUACUGAAUCAAAAGUUGAAGAAAGCAGUUCAAAUAAAACUGAUUCUGGAUCAGGAUCAGGAUCAACCAGCACUUAUGGUGAAACUAACAGUGAUGACACGAAAUCUCAAGAACAAAUAUUCGAUAUUGAGAAUGUCGAUGAAAUAGACAAAACGGAUAAAUCUGCAAAAACAUCGCAAAAUAAAGUCACAAAGUUUUUAUGUUCAUUUAAAAGAAAAUCUUUGCCUUUUACGAAUAAAAUUUCGAGUUCGAAAGAUACUGUUAUUGUUAAAACUGAAAACGAACAAAUGAAAUGUAAUAACGAAAC